AGUGAACGCUGGCGGUAGGCCUAACACAUGCAAGUCGAACGGCAGCACAGUAAGAGCUUGCUCUUACGGGUGGCGAGUGGCGGACGGGUGAGGAAUACAUCGGAAUCUACUUUUUCGUGGGGGAUAACGUAGGGAAACUUACGCUAAUACCGCAUACGACCUACGGGUGAUAGCAGGGGAUCUUCGGACCUUGCGCGAUUGAAUGAGCCGAUGUCGGAUUAGCUAGUUGGCGGGGUAAAGGCCCACCAAGGCGACGAUCCGUAGCUGGUCUGAGAGGAUGAUCAGCCACACUGGAACUGAGACACGGUCCAGACUCCUACGGGAGGCAGCAGUGGGGAAUAUUGGACAAUGGGCGCAAGCCUGAUCCAGCCAUACCGCGUGGGUGAAGAAGGCCUUCGGGUUGUAAAGCCCUUUUGUUGGGAAAGAAAAGCAGCAGGUUAAUACCCCGCUGUCCUGACGGUACCCAAAGAAUAAGCACCGGCUAACUUCGUG
rnacentral:rRNA from 1 species